rnacentral:rRNA from 1 species
UGGGGAAUCUUGGACAAUGGGGGCAACCCUGAUCCAGCCAUGCCGCGUGAGUGAUGAAGGCCUUAGGGUCGUAAAGCUCUUUCGCCUGUGAAGAUAAUGACGGUAGCAGGUAAAGAAACCCCGGCUAACUCCGUGCCAGCAGCCGCGGUAAUACGGAGGGGGUUAGCGUUGUUCGGAAUUACUGGGCGUAAAGCGCACGUAGGCGGACCAGAAAGUUGGGGGUGAAAUCCCGGGGGCUCAACCCCGGAACUGCCUCCAAAACUAUUGGUCUAGAGUUCGAGAGAGGUGAGUGGAAUUCCAAGUGUAGAGGUGAAAUUCGUAGAUAUUUGGAGGAACACCAGUGGCGAAGGCGGCUCACUGGCUCGAUACUGACGCUGAGGUGCGAAAGUGUGGGGAGCAAAACAGGAUUAGAUACCCUGGUAGUCCACACCGUAAAACGAUGAAUGCCAGUCGUCGGGUAGCAUGCUAUUCGGUGACACACCUAACGGAUUAAGCAUUCCGCCUGGGGAGUACGGUCGCAAGAUUAAAACUUAAAUGAAUUG